rnacentral:rRNA from 1 species
UACGUAGGGUGCAAGCGUUGUCCGGAAUUAUUGGGCGUAAAGAGCUCGUAGGCGGUCUGUCGCGUCUGCUGUGAAAACUCAGGGCUUAACCCUGAGCUUGCAGUGGGUACGGGCAGACUAGAGUGCGGUAGGGGAGACUGGAAUUCCUGGUGUAGCGGUGAAAUGCGCAGAUAUCAGGAGGAACACCAGCGGCGAAGGCGGCGCUCUGGGCCGGUACUGACACUGAGGAGCGAAAGCUAGGGGAGCGAACAGG